GAGGAACCCGAUUGCAAAGGGGAAAAAAGUGCAGGGGGUCCUGCAUAAAGUUCCGAAUUUAAGUGUGAGGUGGGUUUUGUUCCAGGGGCAUAAGCGCAAGUUGUAGGGGGUCGAAUGAGAAGGGAAGGGCAGAUCUGUGAACAAAAAGUUUUUCCUAGGGGCCUAAAUGUGAAGUUGGUUUUGGUUUUAAUUAAAUUGCUCGAUUUAAAUUGUUGCAAAUUUGGAAAAUGCAUAUAAAAGUUUAGAAAAAUACUAAAAUUGUGAAUCUUGUUUUGUUGGGUUCCUAAUGAUGUCUAGUUUAUUUCAAAAAUAUUGUUGUGCAUGUUACUAUUCUAUAUUUGGUGCUAUGAUUUAAUUGGUCUAAAGGUCAUUAAAUGCUUUAUAAAUCAUAUAGUGCUCUAAAAAUUGUGAAACCAUUUUUGUUAGCCUCCAUUUAACAUGCAUGUUUUAGAUAUGUAACUUGUGUUAGUGUAAUCUAUGAUAUUCAUACUAUUUUUAAUUUAAAUGCUUGUUUGCUAUCUUAAUAUUGUUAAGUGCAUGAUAAUUAGUGAAAAAUUGAUAAAAUGAUGAAACCACUUCUAUUAGCCUUGUUUUCCAC
rnacentral:lncRNA from 1 species